rnacentral:rRNA from 1 species
AUUGAACGCUGGCGGAAUUCUUUACACAUGCAAGUCGAACGGCAGCACGGGGCAACCUGGUGGCGAGUGGCGAACGGGUGAGUAAUACAUCGGAACGUGCCCAAUCGUGGGGGGUAACGUAGCGAAAGUUACGCUAAUACCGCAUACGAUCUACGGAUGAAAGCGGGGGAUCGCAAGACCUCGCGCGAAUGGAGCGGCCGAUGUCAGAUUAGGUAGUUGGUGGGGUAAAGGCUCACCAAGCCGACGAUCUGUAGCUGGUCUGAGAGGACGACCAGCCACACUGGGACUGAGACACGGCCCAGACUCCUACGGGAGGCAGCAGUGGGGAAUUUUGGACAAUGGGCGCAAGCCUGAUCCAGCCAUUCCGCGUGCAGGAUGAAGGCCUUCGGGUUGUAAACUGCUUUUGUACGGAACGAAACGGUUCUCUCUAAUACAGGGGGCUAAUGACGGUACCGUAAGAAUAAGCACCGGCUAACUACGUGCCAGCCGCCGCCGUAACAC